rnacentral:sRNA from 1 species
GCUCAAGCUGCUUUCUUGCUUUUGUAUUUGUUUGCGCAGAUGACAUAUAUCACAAAGUUCAGAAAACUGAGCCCAGCAAGAAGCCAGAAGAAAUAAUCUAGGUGACCUUGAUUCAAGUUAUCAGGAAUCCAUCCAGGAUUUCCUCCUCUUGUUGUGAAGUACGCAACCAAUGUCAAAAUGAAUGCACUGAGAUAAUUCCCAAGAGCUGUUGUGACAAGCUGCAGUGCGCUGCAGAGGCUCCUCAUGGCAUCCGGUGAUUGAUCAUAGAAGAACUCAAGUGACCCGACAAAUGUGAAGACCUCUGAGGCACCAACCAAGAAAUAUUGAGGAAUUUGCCAGCAGAUGUUCAGUGGUACUGGAACAUUUUGAUCCACCAAAUGUUCAGCCCUUGCAAUGUCCAACCUUUUAAUCUCAAGAACUGCAGCUGCCGCCAUCGAAAAGAUUGAGAUUACCAAACCAAUCCCCAUCCUCUGUAACUCUGUAAAGCCCCUCGGGUUGCCAGUGAACCUCCUAGCUAUUGGAACCAAGAUACUAUCAUAGAGGGGGACCCAUAUAAUGACACUUACCACAUCAAAGGUAGAUAGAGAUGCUGGAGGAAUCUUGAAUGGACCUACUGAUGUAUCAAGCAUCAUCCCUUGCUCAACAAACAUGGUGGACAUCUGAGCAUAGACAGCAGAAAACACAAUAGUCGUUGCCCAGACAGGGAACAUCCUUACCAAUAUCUUCAGUUCUUCCACCUGAGUCACAGUGCAUAUUCGCCAUGGAGCUGCUAGGAAUUGUGCACUGAGCUAUGGUCUGCUGCUGCUGCAAUUUUAGCUCAGAGAGGAACACACCUGAGUUCAUCGGUGUGCUCCAAUUGCCGACUCCCUUCAAUUGCUGAAGCCCCAUCAGGCAACUCAUACAAGCGAGAGCUAUCCUCUGGAACAUGUACGUUCCACUUGCGAAAGGAGGCAACAACCACCUGGCAUACUCGUGUAAUAGGACUGCCGCCUGGCUUUUGGAAUCUAUAAAGUGAUGUUCCAGAGAAGAAACUUAUGAUGGCCAGCCCCAUGAAAAUUGUUGGAAUGCCAAAGCCUAUUCCCCAUCCUAUAUUGUCUUGCACCCAAACCAGAAAACUGCUUGAUAUGAGAGCACCAAUGUUUAUUGAGAAAUAGAACCAGUUAAAGAAAGAUCCCUUCUGGAUUCGCUCAACUGGGUCUGUAUCAUCAAAUUGAUCUGCUCCAAAGGAUGAGACACAGGGCUUAAUACCACCAGUACCAAGAGCAAUUAGGUAAAGUCCAAGAAAAAAGACAGUAUACUGCAAUGGAUUUGCUGGUGGGCAAAAGGACCCUUCGCAAGGUGGAGGCAUGAAUGUAGGAACUGAUGCUGAAAGAGUCAAAAGAUGACUUACAAUGAAGUAUAUCGUGGAGAAUGUUGCAAUAGUCCAAUACCUUCCCCAGUAUGCAUCAGCCAGUAUAGCUCCAAUAAGGGGAGUUAAGUAGCAAGUUCCCUGCCAUGCAGUCACAUUGCUAGCAGCAGAAGCAUUACCAUCAUGCAGUUUCUUUGUCAAGUAUGUAACAAGGUUUGUGGAGAUUCCAUAAUAGGCCAACCGCUCACAGCACUCAUU